AUACUGACCUGGGAGGGGAGAUACCAUGAUAACGAAGGUGGUUUUCUCAGGGUGAGGCUUAUUCAUUGAACCCCAGAUGUGCUGACUCCUGCAAUUUUCCCAAAUGUGGGAAAUACAACUGCAUAAUUUGUGAUAGUGGGAGACUGCAUUCACACUCUCCCU
rnacentral:snRNA from 1 species